GUCCUUUAGAUAUUAAUUUAAGGUCUAACCUGCCCACUGAAUUAUUUUUAAAUGGCCGCAGUAAUUUGACUGUGCAAAGGUAGCAUAAUCAUUAGUUUUUUAAUUAAAAGCUUGUAUGAAAGGUUGGACGAAGUAAAAUCUGUCUCUAAUUAAAUUAAUUUAGAAUUUAACUUUUAAGUUAAAAGGCUUAAAUUUUAAUAAAAGACGAGAAGACCCUAUAGAUCUUUAUAGUUAAAUUAUUAGAUUUAAUUAUGAAUUUUUAAAAUUUUAUUAAUAGAACUAUUUUAUUGGGGUAAUAUAAAGAUUAAAAUAAUUCUUUUUUUUUAUAAACAUUAAUUUAUGAUUUUUAUGAUCCAAUUUUAUUGAUUAAAAGAUUAAGUUACCUUAGGGAUAACAGCGUAAUUUUUUUAGAGAGUUCUUAUCGAUAAAAAAGUUUGCGACCUCGAUGUUGGAUUAAAGAUUAUUUUAGGUGUAGAAGCUUGAAAAUUUUGGUCUGUUCGACCAUUAAAUCUUUACAUGAUCUGAGUUCAGACCGGUGUAAGCCAGGUCGGUUUCUAUCUUUAUUAAGUAAAAAUAUUUUAGUACGAAAGGACCAAUUAUUUAAUAUAUUAAUAUUUAUAAAUUUUGAUUAUUAUUA
rnacentral:rRNA from 1 species